rnacentral:rRNA from 1 species
GAUGAACGCUGGCGGCGUGCCUAAUACAUGUAAGUCGAGCGAACGGACGAGAAGCUUGUUUUUCUGAUGUUAGCGGCGGACGGGAGAGUAACACGUGGAUAACCUACCUAUAAGACUGGGAUAACUUCGGGAAACCGGAGCUAAUACCGGAUAAUCUUUUGAACCGCAUGGUUCAAAAGUGAAAGACGGUCUUGCUGUCACUUCUAGAUGGAUACGCGCUGCAUUAGCUAGUUGGUAAGUUCACGGCUUACGAAGGCAACGAUGCAUAGCCGACGUGAGGGGGUGAUCGGCCACACGGGAAGGUGACCACGGUCCAGGCUCCUACGGGAGGGAGCAGUAGGGAAUCUUCCGCAAUGGGCGAAAGCCUGACGGAGCAACGCCGCGUGAGUGAUGAAGGUCUUCGGAUCGUAAAACUCUGUUAUUAGGGAAGAACAUAUGUGUAAGUAACUGUGCACAGCUUGACGGUACCUAAUCAGAAAGCCACGGCUAACUACGUG